GAUGUAGCCCCAAUGUAUAUUUAUGUCUAACUGAACUGGUCAAUACCCCUGUGUCGAUACAGGUUAUUAUGGCAUGCAAUACGGGGUCAUUACAGUACAAGACAGCUGAGAUUUGAACCCUGGUCUGACAGGGUCCUAAGGAUUUUAAGAAUCUAAUACUGAAGGUUGUAAAGGAUUCUAAGAGGGUGUAGUUGAUGCAUAAGCAAAUAUUGUGUUGUAGUGAGAAACUAAGAGGUUGUUUAGAAGAGUGGAAAGGGGAUAUUAGCAGGCAUCAGCAGUUCAGCACAAACGGCAGAUAAUAUAGGCAAUUAAGAUGGAUCAUGAACAGAGAAAUAGGAAUAGGGAAAAGGCACAAGAGGGAGAGAGAGGAGAGGGGGAGACCAGGGAGAAACCACUUUCUUUCUCAUAAAUGAAGUUCACAUCACAAUACAACUCGAGAGUUGAGACUGUCUUUGACCUUUCCCAUAUGUUGUAGCAGUUGAAUUCAACUCAAAAGAGAAAUUCACAUCAUCGCCUAUUUAAAACCUUGAACCAAAUAACUUAUAAUAAGGCCCAAGUAACUUGUAGGUCAAGAAACUUGAUAACCAGGUAGUUGGAGCUUCAAUAUCUAAUGAUCAUGACUCCAAGAUAGCUACAGAUUUAACGUAUGAUGAGAUCUGGAUGGUUCAUGCUUCAAGGGCAGCAAUUGGCCUUAUGAGAACUCCAUGCAGUAAGAUAAAUGUACAUGUGGUUCUUUAGCCCUCAUAAAAUUGGUAACUAUUUAUCUUAUUAGCAUUUUUUUAUGUUUUUGUAAGCAUAUAUUAUCCUUCUUGUCGAAUCUUCGGAGUCUUUUUAGUGAACACUAACAGUUGGAUCCUUUGGCCCUU
rnacentral:lncRNA from 1 species